CGGGGCGUGGCGCAGUCUGGUAGCGCGCGUGCUUUGGGAGCACGAUGCCGGGGGUUCGAAUCCCUUCGCCCCGACCA
rnacentral:tRNA from 1 species